AGUAGAGUUGGUACAAUGGAGGGUAACUCCUGAAACUCACUUGUCUACCAAGGUGGGAGUGUGGUAUCUUUGGUGCUCUAAGGACGUCACCGGAAGUCCUGCUGUGAUCGUCUCUGAGUGGUGAUUGGAUAAGAAUGGAGGCAGCAGCUGCGAGCCAUCAUAUAAACGAGAACCAGCCAUGGAGGGCAUAAAAAUAAUGAAUGGUCUAAACCACACUGUUAGUACUAUGUUGCCAACCAGAUGAGGAGAGCAUGUCUCCACAGAAUGGACACCCCAACCUGCUCUCUCUGGGGAGCUGGGCUAAGUGGAAGAUUGAAUGCAGGGGUUAGGUUUACCAGCGACAACUCCUCAUCCUCAUCGAAGAGAAGAAAAAUAGGGAAGGGGGACUCAUUUAAAAGAAUUUGCUGUCAAGCCCCGAUGGUCUGAGUGCCAUCCCUGGCUAUCUACAUGGUGUAAGACCAACUGCUGUGUGUUCUCCUCUGAACUUCACAUGUGUAUCAUAUGUGCAUCAUAUAUGCCUAUACAUGUGACAAUAGUAAGACCUUUAGAGAGCUUAUUACAAGAGGAAAAGUCCCCUUGAGAAUGAGCCUUGCAUAAUGAGUUGAGGAAAAAGCCCCAACACUCCCUCAAGAGGCCCAUGAAGUAACAGGUCUGGCAGAGGUGAAAAUAGCCUAAAGUGACACCCCAGAGAAAUGGUAAUUUCCCUCAGGAAUCUUAGACUGGGAGAAGAAAAAGGGCACCAACCAUAGAAAGCCCAAUGGGGCUCAGGGGCUAGAGGUAAGCACCUGGGAAACGCUGAGGGCAUUUGCUAUUGAGGUACUGUCUCCAGGGAGGUGGUAAUAAAACCAGUAUAACCAAAAACUUGAAGAGGAAAGGGAUUAUUUAGUUUACAAUUCUAAGCUGCAGAGUCUAGCUGGACAUGGUGGCACAAGCCUUUAAUCCCAGGACUCAGAAGGCAGAGGCAGGAGGCAAGGCCACCUGAUCUACAGUAAUAAGUUCCAGGCCAGCCAGGGCAA